rnacentral:rRNA from 1 species
CAUGUCCUUUUGAAUUUAAUUUACGGUUUAAUCUGCUCUAUGAAUGUUGAAUGGCCGCAGUAUAUUGACUGUGCAAAGGUAGCGUGAUAAUUAGUUUCUUUAUUGGGAGCUGGUAUGAAUGAUUGGACCAGGGAACAACUGUCUCAUUUUAAUUUUUGUUGAAUUUUAUUUUUUAGUUAAAAAGCUAAGAUUUAAUUAAGGGACGAGAAGACCCUAUAGAUUUUUAUAUUUUUGUAUUUAGUUGGGGUGAUUUUAAGAUUUAAGAAGCUCUUAAUUAUUUUACAGAGAUUUUUGGUUUAAUUGAUUUAAUUCAUUGGUGUUAGAGCAAAUUACCUUAGGGAUAACAGCGUAAUUGUUUUAAGAAGUUCUUAUUUUAUAAGAAGAUUGCGACCUCGAUAUUGGAUUAAAGUUUACUUCAGGUGUAGAUGCUUAAAGGUUAAGUCUGUUCGACUUUUAAAACUUUCCAUGAUCUGUGU